rnacentral:tRNA from 1 species
GCGUCUGUAGCCUAGUUGGUAAAGGCAGCACUCUAGUAUGUGUCUCAGCAUAGCUGAGGUUGUGAGUGCGACUCUCACCAGACACA